rnacentral:misc_RNA from 1 species
CAAGUGACCCCGGUCUAACCACCGGGAUGUUCAUAACCCUUUGUUGUCCGACUCUGUUGCCUCCGGGGUGACCCUGCCUUCGGGCGGGGGCUCCGGGUGGACACUUCAAACUCUUGCGUAACUUUGCAGUCUGAGUAAACUUAAUUAAUAAAUUA